GAUGAAGAACGCAGCGAAAUGCGAUAAGUAAUGUGAAUUGCAGAAUUCAGUGAAUCAUCGAAUCUUUGAACGCACAUUGCGCCCGCCAGUAUUCUGGCGGGCAUGCCUGUUCGAGCGUCAUUUCAACCAUCAAGCCCCAGGCUUGUGUUGGGGACCUGCGGCUGCCGCAGGCCCUGAAAACCAGUGGCGGGCUCGCUGUCACACCGGGCGUAGUAGAUUUUAUCUCGCUCAGGGCGUGCUGCGGGUUCCGGCCGUUAAAAAGCCUUUUUUACCCAAGGUUGACCUCGGAGCAGGUAGGAAGACCCGCUGAACUUAAGCAUAUCAAUAAGCGGAGGA
rnacentral:misc_RNA from 1 species